GUUCAAAUACCGGUUCUCGUAUGAUCACCGAAGUUAAGCAACGUCGAGCCUGUCAGUAACUAGAUGGGUGUCCACAUGGGAAGAAAAGGUUCUGUAA